rnacentral:tmRNA from 1 species
GGGGGCGAAAUGGCUUCGACGAAGGUAACGAAGUCCUAGGUGCAUGCCGAGAGGGUAGUGACUCUCGUUAAACAAUCGCUGCAACUUUAUAUAGUUGCCAACGACAAUAACUACGCACUAGCCGCUUAGUCGGCUAACCGCGGGGACUCGAUGCCUGUGCCGGGACCCGCGGGCAAGUUCACAGGAUCGCGAGGCACGCAAGCCUUAAGUGCGCCGAGCUAAAAAAAUUAUAGGCUCGUCCGAUACACCCUGCUCGUCGGGUCGUUGAUGGACUAAAUCAAUAGACGAAACUAAGCAUGUAGAGCCGAAGACCGAGUGCCGGCGGACGCGGGUUCGACUCCCGCCGCCUCCACCA